rnacentral:misc_RNA from 1 species
GAUGUCCAUUGAUUUUACGUUCAGUUACGAUAGCAUUCAUCUUUAUAGGAGAAAUAAAUAGUAGAACUUUAUUUAUUGCUCUGGACAUUCAAUGGUACCUGUGUUUCAAAACAUCGAUACCGGAGGAUUCCGAUUUCACCAGCAUGAAGGAGCAUCUUGCUCUUUCAUCAUCCCCCUUAAGAUCUCGUCGACCGUGUCGUUUUUGAUAUAUGACACGUAACAGACAGAUUUUGGACCUACGAGAAACUUCGACUCACGGACGAAGUAUGUUCAUUUUAACACUUAUCAAUUCACGGUUUAACAUC